UGUUGUCAGGUAGAAUUCUGUUUCUCUGACAGAGUAAACGAAGGUCCAAGGGAGGUUAGCCGAGUCUUUUAGAUCAGAGCUGUUGAUAGCAACGCUCUGCUGUAUCUGCUUGUGACAUGAUAUGUUGUGUAGCCUACUAACAUUAAAGAUAGUUAAGAGAAACGCCAACAAUUGAGGGCCAUGAAAAUAUACUGCAGUACUUGUCAAUAAAUUUUUGAGAUAACAUUCCAACACCAGCUACAACUAGAAAAUAAUGGAAGACCAACUCCGAAGAGAGGUAUAAUUCAGAAGAUGGAUCACGCUGCUUCAAAAUGGAUACAUACUCACAGAGGAGAAGUGAGAGGAGUCAAGGGAGAGAGAAAUAAACUGCUACUGUGAUGUAUCAUGUAGUGAAGUGUAGGCGAGCAGACAGACAGACAGACAGUCUUACAUGGAAUCAUGAGGCAGUGCUGCAGCGCUGACAGGAGAAACUGCAUAAACGACAAAGACCAUGAGCAACAACGACCUAAAAAGAAGGAAGCAUAUCGAGCAGAUGUUAACAUCGAAGCCGCUCCACAGAUGACGGCGCUGCGUGACCUAAAUGAUUCACAAACAAUGCAUUCUGCUUGACCGAUCACCUCCAGCCUCUCCGCCUGCCACGUCCAGCCGCUUCCUCCGCUCUGGUCUCCCUUCAUUCAGAUCCCUCUGUUCCAUGUUCACUCCAUCCGACCACUGGAUUUCCCCCUGGAUCCCACUACCCAUUCGGAGAAGUUUAUCUUUUCAUUGAUUAUUCAACCUGUGUUUUUGUGCAACCUAAGUAAAAUACUCUGUAUCAUCAGCUCAGUCUCCAGUCUGA